rnacentral:rRNA from 1 species
AUAGUACCGGGUAGUCCACGCCGUAAACGGUGGGCACUAGGUGUGGGACCCUUCCACGGGUUCCGUGCCGUAGCUAACGCAUUAAGUGCCCCGCCUGGGGAGUACGGCCGCAAGGCUAAAACUCAAAGGAAUUGACGGGGGCCCGCACAAGCGGCGGAGCAUGCGGAUUAAUUCGAUGCAACGCGAAGAACCUUACCUGGGUUUGACAUAUACCGGAAACAUCUGGAGACAGGUGCCCCGCAAGGUCGGUAUACAGGUGGUGCACGGCUGUCGUCAGCUCGUGUCGUGAGAUGUUGGGUUAAGUCCCGCAACGAGCGCAACCCUCGUUCUAUGUUGCCAGCGGUUCGGCCGGGAACUCAUAGAAGACUGCCGGGGUCAACUCGGAGGAAGGUGGGGAUGACGUCAAGUCAUCAUGCCCCUUAUGUCCAGGGCUUCACGCAUGCUACAAUGACUGGUACAAAGGGCUGCGAUAUCGCAAGAUGGAGCGAAUCCCAUAAAGCCAGUCUCAGUUCGGAUUGGGGUCUGCAACUCGACCCCA